AACGAACGCUGGCGGCAUGCCUAACACAUGCAAGUCGAACGAGACCGUCGGGCCUAGGGGCGCACGGGGGCGUAACGCGUGGGAAGCUGCCCUUAGGUUCGGUAUAAUUCCCCGAAGGGUAUCUUAAGACCGGUUAAUCUCAUCCGACAAAGGAUUUUCUGCUUUGGGGUGGGGCCGGGUUGGAUUAGUUGGUUGGUAGGGUAUAAGCAUAUCAUGGGGACGAUCCAUAGCUGGUCUGAGAGGAUGAUUAGCCACACUGGGACUGCGACACGGACCAGAGUCCUACGCAAGGCAGCAGUGGGGAAUAUUGGACGAUGGGCGAUAGCCUGAUCCAGCAGUGCCGGGUGAGUGAUGAAGGGCUUAGGGUUGUAAAGCUCUUUUACCCGGGAUGAUAAUGACAGUACCGGGAGAAUAAGCACCGGCUAACUCCGUG
rnacentral:rRNA from 1 species